GAAUUCCUCGAUUUUUCACUGAAGAAGUCAUGAAUUGUAUAAAAUAACUCAAAUGUUAGGCUGCUUACCAAAAUUGCUUUAGGUUCAAAAGCGCUAAUAAAACUUAAAAAAGGUUGCUGAGGGAAUAAAAUAAAAAUAUGGUCUGACACGUGAUCAUAAACUUGGUUACCAUGGUAACAUGGUUUGGUAAGUUACCCAAUUACUACACUAUUGAAGUAGCAAUGGUGGGUGAAUAAAUCGGGC